CAGCGCCGCGGUAAUACAGAGGGUGCAAGCGUUAAUCGGAAUUACUGGGCGUAAAGCGCGCGUAGGUGGUUUGUUAAGUUGGAUGUGAAAUCCCCGGGCUCAACCUGGGAACUGCAUCCAAAACUGGUAGGCUAGAGUAGGGCAGAGGGUGGUGGAAUUUCCUGUGUAGCGGUGAAAUGCGUAGAUAUAGGAAGGAACACCAGUGGCGAAGGCGACCACCUGGGCUCAUACUGACACUGAGGUGCGAAAGCGUGGGGAGCAAACAGGAUUAGAUACCCCCGUAGUCCCUGUCUCUUAUACA
rnacentral:rRNA from 1 species